rnacentral:rRNA from 1 species
UACGGAGGGUGCAAGCGUUAUCCGGAUUCACUGGGUUUAAAGGGUGCGUAGGUGGGCAGGUAAGUCAGUGGUGAAAUCUCCGGGCUUAACCCGGAAACUGCCGUUGAUACUAUUUGUCUUGAAUGUUGUGGAGGUAAGCGGAAUAUGUCAUGUAGCGGUGAAAUGCUUAGAUAUGACAUAGAACACCAAUUGCGAAGGCAGCUUACUACACAUCGAUUGACACUGAGGAGCGAAAGCGUGGGGAGCGAACAGG